rnacentral:rRNA from 1 species
UACGUAGGGGGCUAGCGUUGUCCGGAAUCAUUGGGCGUAAAGCGCGCGUAGGCGGCCCGGUAAGUCCGCUGUAAAAGUCAAAGGCUCAACCUUUGAAUGUCAGUGGAUACUGCCGGGCUAGAGUCCGGAAGAGGCGAGUGGAACUCCUGGUGUAGCGGUGGAAUGCGCAGAUAUCAGGAAGAACACCGACGGCGAAGGCAGCUCGCUGGGACGGUACUGACGCUGAGGCGCGAAGGUCAGGGAGCAAACGGG